AACGAACGCUGGCGGCAGGCUUAACACAUGCAAGUCGAACGCACCGCAAGGUGAGUGGCAGACGGGUGAGUAACGCGUGGGAACGUGCCCUUCAGUUCGGGAUAACCCAGGGAAACUUGGGCUAAUACCGGAUACGUGCGAGAGCAGAAAGAUUUAUCGCUGAAGGAUCGGCCCGCGUCUGAUUAGCUAGUUGGUGAGGUAAUGGCUCACCAAGGCGACGAUCAGUAGCUGGUCUGAGAGGAUGAUCAGCCACAUUGGGACUGAGACACGGCCCAAACUCCUACGGGAGGCAGCAGUGGGGAAUAUUGGACAAUGGGCGCAAGCCUGAUGCAGCGACGCCGCGUGAGGGAUGACGGCCUUCGGGUUGUAAACCUCUUUCAGCAGGGACGAAGCGCAAGUGACGGUACCUGCAGAAGAAGCACCGGCCAACUACGUGCCAGCAGCCGCCGUAAAAC
rnacentral:rRNA from 1 species